GGCAGAGCCAAAGGCCUGAGCAGCAAGAGGCAGCAGGGCCUUUAGAAGAUCAAGAGGCUGGCAAGCAUGGAACACUGCAAUGAUACCCAAGAAGUUUAAACUGGUCAGGAACUGGAGGAGCAGAAAGAAGAGGAGGCGAGCUGACUCCGAAGGCCUUUAAAGAUG